CGGGCGGGGGUGGGGCGUGGGGGCGCGCCAGGGUUGCCACUUAAACAGGAUUUCCUAGUUCUCUGGACAACACAUCGAUGCCAUCAGGGGCGCAUUUAUUCCCCCAAUCUUAAAAACUCGUCGUUCAACACCCCGCAGGAGCCCCACGGAGCCACUGGGUGCGAAAGGCAUGAGGAAUUCCUUAUAUAGCCGCGGCCGCAGCAGCACAGGGCUGUGGCCGCCCAUCACCACACGCAGGUACCCGGGCGGGGGCAUCCCUCGGCCGCCGCCGCAGGGACUGUCCAGACAAUGACCAGGAGCAGAGGCUGUCCGCGCUGGAGCCGCGAGCACACACUCGCCUAAGAGAGGCACCAUCCAGCAACUCCCGCGUCUCCCUACGUUGGGAGAGCCCACGGGGCACCCACCGACACAAGUCGGGGUGUUUCAUUCUCUCCUAGUGCCUGUGGCUUUUUUUCCCUUUAAAACAAAACAAACAAAACAAAACAAAACAAAACAAAAAACCCACCACCAACAACAACAAAAAACUCUGUGGUCAGGCCGAGGAGUGUGUUUCCCUGGCACAUCCGCGGAAAUCAAUACCCCGCGCAGCUGCACCGCGAGCCGCAGCCCCGUGCGCUCGUCGGGCCGCCCGCCCCCUCCCCCACCCGCCCCACUCGCGACUGUGAGCGCCAGCCCAGCUCCAUUAUCUGUCCUCUGCUGGCGCAUUGGGCCCAGGUAACAACUUCCCCAAACCGAAAGAACCAAAGCGAGGCGCAUGCACACAGCCCCGUGCCCGCCCGGACUCGGCUGCCCGGGCGUCCCGACCUGUCUGUGCUAUUUCCCGGCCCGCAGGCGGCGAGUCCACGCACACACCCGCCCCGUGGCAGCAGCUAGGAGCCACUAGAGCGUGCCCGGCCCCCGACGGGCACCGCAGGCGCGGGGUUCCAGCCCCCUGGGCGCCGACUCACGCCGGCCCCGCGCGUCCCCAUCCCCGCCCGCCCGCGAGCGCGCGGGGCGCAACUUUCCCGCGGGCGCCCGACCCGGCGCGCAGCGCCCGCUCCCGCGCACACGCGCGCACGGCCGACACGCAGCCGACACGCAACCAGCCCGCGGCCGCCCGUCCUCUCCCGCCCGCGCCCGCCCCGCAGCCCGCGCCCGCCCGCCGCAAGUUUGUUCCCCGCCGCUGCGGCCUGCGCGGAGAGAGGAUCGCGCGCGGGGAGGCGCCGAGGGGCAGCAAGAGUGGAGAAAGUGCGGAAAGAAGCAACAGCCGCUCCACCCGCGGGCGGAAAAGUGGCCGGGCGCGGCGGCGGGAUGCGGCGCAGCUAACGGUCCCCGGCGGCCGCCGGAGCCGCUAGGCGCAGAGGCAGGCUGGCACCUGUGCAGUGGGAGAGAGUUCUUGUCACUGGUGACUCAUCGUGCAGGGAGCACAAGGAAGAGCAAGGGGAUAGUGUCUCACAAGUGUAGGGCUGGAGCUACAGGAACCAUCCAGGUGCACUGGCUUGGCCUCUGCAUCUUUCUGUGCCACUGUCUCAUUCUGUUUCCGGCUGUGCGUGGAUGCGGAUGGCCCAGAGAGNNNNNNNNNNNNNNNNNNGGGUCUGCAACCCUAUAGGUGGAACAACAAUAUGAACUAACCAGUACCCCCAGAGCUCGUGUCUCUAGCUGCAUAUGUAGAAGAAGAUGACCUAGUCGGCCAUCAUUGGGAAGAGAGGCCCCUUGGUCUUGCAAACUUUAUGCCCCAGUACAGGGGAAACACCAGAGCCAAGAAGUGGGAGUGAGUGGGUAGGGGAGCCGGGGGUGUAUAGGCAACUUUCAAGGUAGCAUUUGAAAUGUAAAUGAAGAAAAUUCCUAAUAAAAAUUGGAAAAAUAAAAAAUAAUAAUUAGGAAGCUAACCUAUUGUUAUAAAAGUGCAAUAGCAACAGUUUAAAGGGUGUUGUGUUCUUUGCUAAUUAGGAUCUCACUUGAUCUCCGUAACAGUACAAUGACUGGAAGAUCCCUUGGAAACUGCGGGUCUUAGGGGUUACUAAACCAAUCUGUCCAGCCUAGGGUGGUCAGGGAUGGGGACACAGUGUGCUGUUGGGUUGAGGUGACUGCAACCCUGGCCUUAACGGACAUCUAAACUAUUUAACCCAAAGUGAUUUGGGCUAGUUAUGGAAAGUGAAGUGUGUAACAGUGCUGACCAAGUGCAGACACCAUGUGAGAACUUGUCAUUUAGUGGCUUAGUGUCCUUUGCCUUGUUUAUUUCUCCUGAUCUCUGAAGAGCUGCCCAGGUGGAACAAGGCAAAUCAUACCUCAAGGUUAUUGAUAGGGAAGUAGAUAUUGUUAGCUUAGAAGGUAGAUAUCUGCCCAGCUCUGGUACUUUAAAGGCAUAUUAUAAAUAUAAAGGUUUUUUUUUAUCUUUUGUCUGGGAACUGAACAAUCAAAGGUGGGGUUAGAGAUUAUUACCACACUCGAUCCUCCAUUCUCCAUGAAAUACAUCCCUUCUAAACCUGGAGGACCCUAUCCUUGCUUGGCUUCUCUGACACUCUCAAGCAACUCCUUGUCAGGCCCUCUUAGUUGUUGACCUCCCUACACUGCAUGCCAGAGAGCCAGGCUCUGCCCCAGAUUCUUUACAGUUUCUCUCUCCACUUUGUUUUUCUGAUUCUCAUCUUCAUACCAGAGACUUAAUAUCUGCCUGCCAAUGAACUAUAUCUAAGGUCUUAAGAUGGUCGUCAGCACCUACAAUUGCCCCACCUUAGAUGAGAUACUCUUUCUUUCCUGUCCUUCACUCUUUCCUAGCUGCACCAGCCUUGUGUCAUUCCUUGAAAUGCCAGACACAUUCCUACCUUGGCACAGAAGCCUACUUCUAAAUCCAAAUUGGAAUGCUCUCAUGAAAAUGUGGUACAUUGAUCAAUACUAAUUUUUAAAUGCUCUUAUUAAAGGAAUUCAUAAUGUAA
ensembl:processed_transcript Gm10125 predicted gene 10125